rnacentral:lncRNA from 1 species
UUGAGCGUGGAAGGGGAGUGUGAGCUGUGGCAACUUUAUAUCAUAACUCACAACUUGCUACUGAGGUUCCUGCUGCACUCACAUCUGAAGUGAAACAGAAUAAGAAGAAACAAGAGCAAAAGGAGAUUUUGACAUAACUCGAGAAUUAUUUUCCUGUGGCUAUGAGGGUAAGGAAUAUGUGCAUUUAAUGUUUCUGUGGACCGAUUAAAAUAGAAGGAGAUAUACAA